GGCUUAACACAUGCAAGUCGAGCGGUAGCACAGGGGAAGCUUGCUCCCUGGGUGACGAGCGGCGGACGGGUGAGUAAUGUCUGGGAAACUGCCUGACGGAGGGGGAUAACUACUGGAAACGGUAGCUAAUACCGCAUAACGUCGCAAGACCAAAGAGGGGGACCUUCGGGCCUCUUGCCAUCAGAUGUGCCCAGAUGGGAUUAGCUAGUAGGUGGGGUAAUGGCUCACCUAGGCGACGAUCCCUAGCUGGUCUGAGAGGAUGACCAGCCACACUGGAACUGAGACACGGUCCAGACUCCUACGGGAGGCAGCAGUGGGGAAUAUUGCACAAUGGGCGCAAGCCUGAUGCAGCCAUGCCGCGUGUGUGAAGAAGGCCUUCGGGUUGUAAAGCACUUUCAGCGAGGAGGAAGGUGGUGAACUUAAUACGUUCAUCAAUUGACGUUACUCGCAGAAGAAGCACCGGCUAACUCCGUGCCAGCAGCCGCGGUAAUACGGAGGGUGCAAGCGUUAAUCGGAAUUACUGGGCGUAAAGCGCACGCAGGCGGUUUGUUAAGUCAGAUGUGAAAUCCCCGGGCUCAACCUGGGAACUGCAUUUGAAGCUGGCAAGCUAGAGUCUCGUAGAGGGGGGUAGAAUUCCAGGUGUAGCGGUGAAAUGCGUAGAGAUCUGGAGGAAUACCGGUGGCGAAGGCGGCCCCCUGGACGAAGACUGACGCUCAGGUGCGAAAGCGUG
rnacentral:rRNA from 1 species